UUGCCAGACUCCUACGGGAGGCAGCAGUGAGGAAUAUUGGUCAAUGGGAGGAAUCCUGAACCAGCCAUGCCGCGUGCAGGACGACGGCUCUACGAGUUGUAAACUGCUUUUGUACCGGGGUAAAAUGCCUUACAAGUAGGGUUUUGAAAGUACGGUACGAAUAAGCAUCGGCUAACUCCGUGCCAGCAGCCGCGGUAAUACGGAGGAUGCGAGCGUUAUCCGGAUUUAUUGGGUUUAAAGGGUGCGUAGGCGGAUUUUUAAGUCAGCGGUAAAAUGUCCGGGCUCAACCCGGGCCGGCCGUUGAAACUGGGGAUCUUGAGUGGGCGAGAAGUAUGCGGAAUGCGUGGUGUAGCGGUGAAAUGCAUAGAUAUCACGCAGAACUCCGAUUGCGAAGGCAGCAUACCGGCGCCCGACUGACGCUGAGGCACGAAAGCGUGGGGAUCGAACAGGAUUAGAUACCCGGGUAA
rnacentral:rRNA from 1 species